GAUGAACGCUAGCGAUAGGCUUAACACAUGCCAGUCGAGGGGUAACGUGUUGGAAGCUUGCUUCCGAUGACGACGACCGGCGGAUGGGUGCGUAACGCGUAUGCAACUUGCCUCACAGUGGAGAAUAACCCGGAGAAAUCCGGACUAAUACUCCAUACACUCUUAAGUACGCCUGUACAUGAGAGGAAAGAUUUAUCGCUGUGAGAUAGGCAUGCGUCCUAUUAGGUAGUUGGUGAGGUAACGGCUCACCAAGCCGACGAUAGGUAGGGGUGCUGAGAGGCAGAUCCCCCACAUUGGGACUGAGACACGGCCCAAACUCCUAAGGGAGGCAGCAGUGAGGAAUAUUGGUCAAUGGAGGAAACUCUGAACCAGCCAAGUUGCGUGAAGGAAGAAUGUCCUAAGGAUUGUAAACUUCUUUAGCGAGCGAGUAAGGACUUCCACGUGAUGGGAGUUUGAAAGUAGCUAGAGAAUAAGUAUCGGCUAACUCCGUG
rnacentral:rRNA from 1 species